GUAGGAUUUCUGGUAUCAAACAUAGGCACCAGGAGCUCUGAAACUUUUGUACUCGCAUUGAUGGGGGUCAGCUACCAGCAGAGUCCAGUCAUACUACAUGAAGCUAUCUUAAUCUCCUUCUGUUUAGCCUCACCCACAAGUACGUGGUAAUAAACCACCAAGCCUUUAGAGAUAGAUGUUAGGAAGCAUAAAUUCAACAUGAUCACAGCUCUUCACAGGGACCCAGACAUCCACGCCAGGAAGUCAUUCCUUGCCCCAAAGCAGAACAGGGUCAAGUAACUUGUACUGCAGUGUGAGUGGCUUGAUCGUCUUCAGAGACCGUUUACCUUGAUGAGGCUCUUUUCCCAUUCAGAGUAUGUCAUGCGGUGGCUGGCUAAGGAACCGAAGACCUGCACAGACUGCAGCAGACCCUUGAGCAACACGAUUGUGAGUGUAAAUCCUAGCUC
rnacentral:lncRNA from 1 species